UGCAUGUAUCUUAAUAGUCAAAUAUUGAUGGUUUGAUCUCUUAAUGGAAAAAAGUCCAGUGGGUUUUUUUUCUAAUUAAGUAUGAAGAUAUGAAGGGCCUUGGUAGUACAGUGGUCUAAAGCACCCUGUUAUUAAGAACAGCUGCCUGCAAUUACUGCAGGUUCGAAUCUCGCCAAGGCUCAUGGUUGACUCAGCCUUCCAUCCUUUCUAAGAUAAAAUUCAAAAUGGGCACAAGAACCACUUUAAGAAGAAAGGUCAGAACAUUUAAUUUCCUAAAUAUCUGUGUCUGCAGGCAAAAGUUGUAGUUCUCUUCCUCCUAAGGAUUUCAAGAUCUGAUAUGACUACAAGGACAAAACGUUAUAAUAAACAGGUCACUUCGACCAGCUGUAUUGA